rnacentral:rRNA from 1 species
CGGAUUGUACGUAUGGGUACCUAACAUGACUGGGUCAGUAAAGAAGCUUGCUUCUCUUGAGAGCGGCGCACGGGUGAGUAAUGCCUAGGAAUCUGCCUGGUAGUGGGGGAUAACGUUCGGAAACGGACGCUAAUACCGCAUACGUCCUACGGGAGAAAGCAGGGGACCUUCGGGCCUUGCGCUAUCAGAUGAGCCUAGGUCGGAUUAGCUAGUUGGUGAGGUAAUGGCUCACCAAGGCGACGAUCCGUAACUGGUCUGAGAGGAUGAUCAGUCACACUGGAACUGAGACACGAUCCAAACUCCUACGGGAGGCAGCAGUGGGGAAUAUUGGACAAUGGGCGAAAGCCUGAUCCAGCCAUGCCGCGUGUGUGAAGAAGGUCUUCGGAUUGUAAAGCACUUUAAGUUGGGAGGAGGGGUUGUAGAUUAAUACUCUGCAAUUUUGACGUUACCGACAGAAUAAGCACCGGCUAACUCUGUGCCAGCAGCCGCGGUAAUACAGAGGGUGCAAGCGUUAAUCGGAAUUACUGGGCGUAAAGCGCGCGUAGGUGGUUUGUUAAGUUGGAUGUGAAAUCCCCGGGCUCAACCUGGGAACUGCAUUCAAAACUGACUGACUAGAGUAUGGUAGAGGGUGGUGGUAUUUUCCUGUGUAGCGGUGAAAUGCGUAGAUAUAGGAAGGAACACCAGUGGCGAAGGCGACCACCUGGACUAAUACUGACACUGAGGUGCGAAAGCGUGGGGAGCAAACAGGAUUAGAUACCCUGGUAGUCCACGCCGUAAACGAUGUCAACUAGCCGUUGGAAGCCUUGGAGCUUUUAAGUGGCGCAGCUAACGCAUUAAGGUGGACCGCCUGGGGGAGUACGGCCGCAAGGUUAAAACUCAAAUUGACUUGACCGGGGGCCCGGCACAGGCGGUGGAGCAUGGUGUUUAAUUCGAAGCAACGCGAAGAACCCUUACCAGGGCUUUGACAUCCAAUGAACUUUCUAGAGAGAUAGAAUGGGUGCUUCGGAACAUGGACGGUCUGCCAUGCCUGUCGUUCAGCUCGUGUCCGUAAAAUUAGGAUAAGUCCCCGGUACCGAGCCAACCAUGUCUUAAGUUACCAGCCCGUAUGGUGGCACUCUAAGGAACUGGCGGGGACAUCCUGGGAAAGUGGAUUAGCUCAAGUCUACACUGGCCUUUACGCACGCUGUG